GGCGGCUGUGUGCGGCUGUGUGGUCUUUCUUAGCUUCUUUUGGUGAGGGCUGCGGUUGGAGCCGUGUCUAGCUCAGCAUUUCGGGGUGCAGUUGCGGCAGUCCCUGCUCAGCCUGGCUGUGUGUAUGCUGACCUGAACUGGGAAAGCAUCUUGCACAUCCUGUACCCUGAGCUCUUGAGGUGUUUGCGGGCUCAGAGCCGUGCCAGUCGUUAUGGGAUAGUCACGUCGGAGCAGUACAUAGCAACAGUGCCGGGAAUGCAAGGAUCCUUCAGGCAUCUUGCACCGUUCCUGUGGAAGAAUAUUCAGUGUCUGUGACAGAGGCUUUGUUCCUGUGAAUAUCUGCAAGGACCCAUCUGAAGAGAUGAGUAGAUGUGUUUUCAGAAGUUCAGCUGGACCACUUGUAGGAGUAAACUUCACUAUUGGUGAUGAGAGUUAAAUGUGAAGAAAAAAAGCUGGAUAAGUAUUACGCUGUUAAACUUGCUGCCACAAGACUGUACUGUUAAAGAGUGAUACAGGGAUGAUGAGAAAUCUGGGAUAAGCUUAGCCAUGGAGACUUUGUUCCAUUUCAUCUACUAGGCUUUUUUUUUUUUUUUUAAGGAAAACGGAAUAUCUUAUGAAAAAAUACCAAGUCAUUCUCUCUGACAUUUGUAUU